ACGUCGUGUUGAUGGAGUGUGGCUUACGUCCAGCACAAGUCGCGUGUGAGUUUGGAAGACGGACAGCCGCGUGGCCACCGGCACGACCGAGAACAGCGGUGGAACAAGGUGCAGCCGCCCCAGACGCCCCUCCUGGGGCCGGAUCCCACCGCUGAAGCGAUCUCUCACGGAAAGAGCUGCGAGCACGCCCCACACCAGACCAAGCCUUAAAAUGGCGAGAUGCUUCGGGAAGGUUUUCUUAGAUCCACCGACGCAAGGGAGGCGGCGGCAGGUCUGGCUACCGUGCAGAAGAACGCUGAGAUCCGUAGAUUUGGGAGGAGGACUUUAUUUCCCUGGCCGGCUGGGAGGCGCAGGCCGAGGCAGAGACCAGAAUCUUUGAACGUAUUUAAAAUAGCUGCUUUGAAGUCCUCAUUGGAUAACCCGGGCUGCGUCUGGGUCUUCUGGACCUUGGUCUCCACCGACUGCGUUUCCUCUGAACCACUGGCCACGGCUUCAUAUUUCUUUGCAUUUCUGGAGCAGUUAACUUGACUGGACUCAAGAUCCCAAAUCCUCCUUCCCUGUGGGCAGCCCACUCACCGAAAUCUCAGCUCCUUGGACCUCACAGGUGCUGCUUCCUGAUGGGCUCCAUAGACGUCCCUAGAUGUCAACGCGUGCUCAGGACAUCAGCCGAGGGCCGAGUGGAGUUUGCCUGUGGAUUUGGGGGCUCCCCUGCACAUCUCCCCGACUCCCCAGCUGCUCUUGAAUGGCUGUCUUGAGCCUCGUCCGUCAUCAGGAAGGCUGCGGGUUCUGCUCGGUCCCUGCUGCACGCGCUGGGCCGUGCCUUCAGACAGACAUCUGGAGGAAGAAACUCCUCUGGUGCUUGCUGGUCUUGGUCUCGCUCCAGUGCCUUCCAAUCAUUGUUUUUUAAACUGCUUUUCCCAGAGUUUAAAACUGCCCGUCUGCCGAAGAGUCAGUCUGAUACGAGCUGCUCCCCCACGGCUGGAGUCAGAGCUACUUUCUCUCGUGCGGCUUCUCACUUUCAUUUCCCUGCUGGCGAGUGGGGCACGGCACGCCCUCCCCGUGCGAUGGCCCUUGCACGUGUGUUUUGUAAGACCCCUGCUCAGUUCUCUUGCCUGUGUCUCUGCUGAACUAUUUGAUUGUCCUAAUUGAUUUAUAGUUCUCUAUAUAUUCUGGGUAGGUCAUCUACGUUUGUAGGAAAGACCGUGAAAGGCUGAAAUGGACCAAAGAUUGCUGGGGUCUUCGGCAAGAAGCCGGGCAUUGCCGUGCACAGCCCUGGGCUACCUCGUUCUGUCUGCAUGUCUGCAAGCGUACCCUUGUCUUUGGGCUGUUUUACAGCUCUGCAAAUUGCAGGACAUCGACGGCACCGCCAACCCUCUGCAGAGUGGUGGCGAUGCUUCUUCUCUGCUUUGGAAGGACAACUGAUUCCUCUCUGCCUCCCAGGGAAAAAGCCAGGUUUCCAUCUAUUUAUUUACUCCUUUCGGCCUUCCCGAUUCAGCUGCAUAAGGGCACCACUUUGCAUUCUACUUUGAACUAGUUGUACACCUUAAUUGGCGAGAAUAACCAACGAAAC